rnacentral:rRNA from 1 species
UAUUGGACAAUGGGGGGAACCCUGAUCCAGCGACGCCGCGUGAGUGAAGAAGUAUCUCGGUAUGUAAAGCUCUAUCAGCAGGGAAGAAGAAAUGACGGUACCUGAGUAAGAAGCCCCGGCUAACUACGUGCCAGCAACCGCGGUAAUACGUAGGGGGCAAGCGUUAUCCGGAUUUACUGGGUGUAAAGGGAGCGUAGACGGCUGUGCAAGCCAGAUGUGAAAGCCCGGGGCCCAACCCCGGGACUGCAUUUGGAACUGUGUGGCUGGAGUGUCGGAGAGGCAGGCGGAAUUCCUAGUGUAGCGGUGAAAUGCGUAGAUAUUAGGAGGAGCACCAGUGGCGAAGGCGGCUUACUGGACUGUAAAUGACGCUGAGGCUCGAAAGCGUGGGGAGCAAACAGG